UGAAAGGCAAGUUGCUCAGUCGUGUCCGACUCUUAGCGACCCCAUGGACUGCAGCCUACCAGGCUCCUCUGCCCAUGGGAUUUUCCAGGCAAGAGUACUGGAGUGGGUUGCCAUUGCCUUCGCUGAACUGAUGCACCUAAGUUCAGUUAAAUGUUCUGCAAAUGCAGGUGUCUCAAACCAAGCCUCCAGAACUACAGUGAGAGGGAAAGACACAGGGAGAGAGCGAGACAGGCUAACUUCUAAUUAUAAGGGAAACUUCUAAUUAUCUUUAUCCUAGGCUAACUUCUAAUUAUCUCUGAAGCCCUACUGGAAAAGUGCCUUAUAUGGUAGGCCAAAUAAUGACUUCCCAAAAGACUUCCAUGUCCUAACCCUUGGUAUCUGUGGAUAUUACCUUAUAUGACAAGAACCUAGAACUUUGCAGAUAUAACCAAGGAUACUGAGGUGGGAAGAUGAUCCUGGAUCAUCCAAGUGGGUGCAAAAUGCCAUCAUAUGUACCUUUAAAAGAGGGAGGCAGACAGGAUACAGAAGAGAGGAGAGCAAUGUGACUAUGGAAUGGGGAGAUGGAGGGGUCUCUGUCUCAUGCUGCCUUUCCUGUCCUGUCUCUACAGGGGUAGAGUUCAAACUUGAUAGAGCUGUGAUCAUUCCAGAGCCUGGCCUGGUCUCCUUUCCCAGCCUCAUCUCCUACUUCUCACUGACACUUAACUUCUCCACUGUGAUCCAAAAUCAUGUCUGUCCCAGGGGCAUGACAUGGUGUCUUGUUUUGUUUUGUUCCGCUGCUCCUGAUCCUCUUUACAAGUUACUUUCUCUGCAUUUGAAGCUGUUUUCUCUCAUCUCCGCUUCCCCAAACCCCUUAUCCUUCUAGAAUCUGAUCAAAUGUCACUACUCUCAAGCAUCCCACCACCGUGUUGAAUAACUUAUCAGAAAUCUGAUUGUGCUUAGCUUUCCCUUGUAUUUUUAUUUCAGUAAAUAGCAGGACUCUUUUCCUGUGUGGAUUCUGUGUCUUUUCAUCUGGCCUUGAAAUGGAAGCAGAAAGUGUUCUGUUAUGCUGCUUAAGAAAGGCAUUCAACAAAUACGAUGCAAUAAGAAAAUAACACCCAGCUACGACUUGAAUAAACUCAAAUUAUUUACUGAGAGCUCAAUAGCCAAACAAGCAUGUUGUACAGUAGUAUCCUUUUUUGCGGGUGGGAACAUGCCACAAGGCUUGUGGAAUCUUUGUUCCCUGCCCAGAGAUUGAAUCUGUGCCCUUGGAAGAAAAAACAUGGAGUCCUAACCACUGGAGCUCCAGGGAACUCACAGUACUAUCCCAGCGUGAGUGAAACAUCGAGCAGUUGAUCUCAUAAGAUGCAGCAUUCAUAUCAUAGUCAAUGAAACCUCUUUACUUAACGAUUUCCCCCUCUCCUUGCUUGAGUCUGGCAUUGGGCUGACUUAACAAAAUGGUCAUAUACACAAUAAAAUAGCUCAAAGUUUGGAAAUGUACCAAGGGUGAGGCUAUGGUUUCACCUUUAUUGUGUCAUGGCUCUGGGGUCCAGACUGUACCCAUUGGUGAUGACUGGCUGGAUGUUGUCACUCUUGGUCAUUGUGGGAAGAGGUAAAUCCCGAGACAGUGAGAGAUUGGCACCAGUGAGGGGAGGACUUCUUACCUACCAGGACUGGCAGUAAACUGGAUCCACCCUCCCAGGCCGGAAGAAGCCUAGAUGGUUUUAGGAGGGGGACCGAGCUGCUGCCGGCCAUCUGGAGGUGAGCCGAGGACAAUAGGCCGAGCCAGUCCCCGCUUUCUGGCGGCACUGAAGUUAUGGACCCGAUACGUGCUUGUCAGCUUCUGAGAGCAAGGUUAGUCAUCAUCAGAUCCAUUUAUACCUGUAACCUACCUGCCUCGCAUUGAUCAAGCUCCCUUUCACUGCUUUUACAAAAACGAGCAUGCUCUCCAAGCCUCAAGUAGCCUAGUUAAUAAGAUAUUUGCCCUAGCUGUGUUGUAGGAGCUUGGCGUCAGCUGUGUCCAGUUGGAUCUGCAGCCGAUUAAGACUGAUUAAGACCACCGACCCUCUGAAUAGGCAUGGGCAAUGACUGCUGGGUGAUCUUUUGAUGUUAGAGGCUGAAGCUCCACCUUCUGCUUGGGUUAACUGCUAUUUUUUUAGAGCUCAUGUCUCAUGGAGGAGCCAGGAACUUGGUUGCAUCUGCGCAAGAUGGUGAUGACCACACCUUUUCCCUCUCUCCAAUUACCUCUCCCAGUGCUUGCUGCACCUGGGCUUUCUUCCACGAGCCCUGUGCAUGUAGCAGGCAGAGCGCCACGCUGGGCUGCGAACCUUGGCAUCUCAGGGUUUGGAUUGCUGCGCAUUGGCCACCAAACCUGGUUUGUUAGCUUUUUGAACAUAGCCAGGCCCUGCGGAGAUGCUGGUGAAGUCUUCCGGUCGCCUGAAGAUGUGCAGUUUUUGGCUUCAUCGGUGAUGAGGUGAAUCUGAGACCCCUCUCCUUGUAUCUGGGCUGGCCUCAGCCAGGAGAGUGAGUGCAGCAGUGUGACACCAUGUAUCUUCUGAGGCUUGGGCACAAAAGGCUAUGCAGUGACUGCUCGUUUCUGCUGCCAUGCUGUGAGGAAGCCCAGGCCACACUAGGAAGCCAUGAGUAGGAGACUGGGCCACGAGCAAACACGAGCCUUCACAUACAUGAGUGAGGAAGCCUACAGGAUGACUCCAGCCCCACGAGAGCAACCCUGAGCAAGAACUGCCUCACUGAGCCCAGUCCACCCCUAGAACCAUAAGACAUAAUGAUAGUAGAUAACUGCUGUUUUAUGUGACUAAAUUUUGGCUGGUUUGUUACUCAGAAAUAUAAGAUUGGAAGAGGGAAUCAAGAAAGGCAUUAAUGACAUGGACUCCUUCCAGCUCUCUGCUCUGUUAUCUCUAGCACAGCUCUAUCAUCCUCUUAUAUCAAGAUGCUGCUGGAAUUCCAGUCAUCACAUCUGCAUUCCCAGCAACAGGAUGGAGGCAUAGAAGAAUACUGUACCUUCUCCCUUUCAGGGUAACUGUUUGGAAUUCCAUACAAUCCCAUUUGUGGCCAGAAAUUUAGUCACAUUGUCACUCUGAGGAGCAGAAAAAAAGUAUGUUAGUGGCUCAGUUAUGUCCACCUCUUUGCCACCCCAUGGACUGUAGCCCACCAAUUUCCUCUGUCUAUGGAAUUCUCCAGGCAAGAAUAUGGGAGUGGGUUGCCAUGCCCUCCUCCAGGGGAUCUUCCCAACCUAGAGAUUGAACCUUGGUGUCCUGCAUUGCAGGUGGAUUCUUUACCAUCUGAGCCACUAGGGAAGCCCUUUAGCAGCAGGGAAGACUGAAAAAUGAAUCCUUUAUUUUUGAUUGUAAUAUACCCAGCUAAAAUUUGGGCUUUUGGAGAAUGAGCAGAAUGGCUGUUGGAUUAGACAGUUGGUAGAUUUCAGAUCUUUUCAUGAGCCAAGUAUAUGAGUUUUAAUGCCUGGAAACUGGCACUGUUUUACUGUAUUCACAGUAUUCGGGGUUGAUGGAUAGAUGACUUCUGUCUACAACUUUCCAUAUAACUGGAAUGUCAGUAUGCUUAUUCUGUUAUUUCUGUGUUUCUUGGUAGUUGAUAAGCAAUGCCUGAUAAAACUCCUUCAGAUCUCCUCUUGAAACACCCACAGAUAACCACCAAAAAAUUGGCACAAAAGGCAUAAACUUAGGGAAAAACAAAGGUAGUUGAGACCAAGAAGACUGUACUUUUACUGCGACAUGGUUGGGUUUUGGUUUUGAAAAACAUUGUGUGACUUCACAUACUCCAUCCUCAGAGCCAGAACAGUGGAGAGAGGGGAAGACUUGGAUGAAGACCAAUGAUCCCCCUUAAUUUUGGGACUCGAGUCCCCCACAAUCAAUGCAUCAGGGAACUGGCUAUCAUUGGCCUAGGAAUCAUCUUCUGAACCAUCCACAUCUGUUCUGUGUUCCUUGAAUCUUCCCCCUACCAUGAUUCUUCCCCUCUGACUUUCAUUAUGGGGUUGAUUCAAGGAAGACAGCUUCCAGGAUUCAAUAUAGCUGAUAGGCUAUCUUGCAGGAUGGACUAUGCGGACCUGUGUCAUUGAAGAUUCCAUCACUUGAGAAAGGCCCUUAUAAAGGCAGAACCAGGAAAAAGGGAGAGAGGCCAGAGCAGACCAUGCUGGGGUGGGAUGGUCUGGCUCCUCAUGGUGAACUCUUCACUGAAAGACUCAGAAAAUGUGUAGGAGAAGAGUUCCACUGAUAAAUGUUGGAGGGCAAGACUGGGUGUACUAACGUUCUUUCUGGGUUUAGAUCAGAGAGAGGAAAGUGUCUAGUUCCCAAGUGGCCCCGGAGGGGCUGAGUGAGCCUCUCACCCUCCUCCCCUCUGUGUAAAGAGAGAGAGAGAGUACUCAUCUCAUUCAGAGCACAGCAAACGAACCUCCCUUAGACUCAAUCACAUGGAGAAAAUUCACAGACAUAAACCUUACCAAACCAGUAUCAUAUAUUUAUUUAUUUUUAAAGGACGUAGACAAAAAAUCUUAUGGGAGUUUCUCAGAGGCAUUAAAGAUUCUGUCUAAUGUGUUUGCUGUCCCACAAGCAUACCCACAGGCUUGUGUGAUGAGAACUGAUGUUCAGCAUGAGAUCCCACAGACACUGCAAGAUUUUCAGUCAUCAAAUAUUCAAUUAUGUUCUCUAUGUUCUAUUUACUAAAGCGGAGAAGCAGACAUUAAAAAAAGGAUUUCCAUAAUAAGAAUUGGUUUUAGUUUCACAGUUUUACUCUCCUGGUUGCAUUUGUUUGCUAGUGUAAUUUAGAGUCCCACCAGAAAGCAACCCAGACAAUGCCACGAACAAGGAGAAAAUGUUGUACAUUUGCUUUGGGGUGACCUAGAAACAGAAAAACAUAAAAAAUUUAACCACUCCACAGUCUCCAGUCACAGCAUUUCAAUCCUCUGUUCAUCUCUCCUUUUAUUGUUGGGUGCACUUCCUUUUAACCUGGGUCAGUGGAGAUAAAUGGUUAUAGAAUUUACUUCGUUACUGCUCAUUUUAGUUUGCCGUUCCAAUGUUUUGUUAUGAACUGAAUGCUUGGGUCCUUUCAAAAUUUGCAUAUUGAGGUCCUAAUCACCAAAGUAAUAGUAUUUGGAGGUAGGGGGGCUUUAGGAGGUAAUUAGGGUUGGAAUCAUUCAAGUUGGUGGGGCCUCAGGAUAGAUCUGUGGCCUUGUAACAAAAGGAGAAAUCUUUCUUUCCUUAGCGUGUGAGCAUACAGUGAGAAGGCAGCCAUUGGCAAGAAAGGCAGACAGUUCUCACCAGAAACUGAACUGGCUGGCAUCUCAGUCUUGGAUUUUCCAGCCUCUAGAACUAUGCGAGGGCUUCCCAGGCAGCUUCAGUGGUAAAGAUUCCACCUGCCAAUGCAGGAGACCAAGGUUUAAUCCUUGGGUUGGGAAGAUCCCCUGGAGAAGGAAAAGGCAACCCACUCCAAUAUUUUUGCCUGGGGAAAUCCCAUGGACAGAAGAGCCUGGAGGGCUACAGUCCAUGGGGUCGCAAAAAAGUCAGACAGGACUCAGCGACUAAAGGACAACAGCGCUGUGAGAAUGUAUAUUUCUGUCAUUAAGUCGCCCAAUUUACGAUACUUAGUUAUGGCAGCCCAAGUUAACACAGAUUUCUAUCUAAUAAAGAUGCUGAUGGUAGCUAACAUGUGGAUUCUAGCCAUUUGCUGUGAAAGUGACUCAGUCAUGUCCGACUCUUUGUGACCCCAUGGACUGUAGCCUGCCAGGCUCCUCUGUCCAUGGGAUUCUCUAGGCCAGAAUACUGGAGUGGGUAGCCGUUCCCUUCUCCAGGGGAUCUUCCUGACCCAGGGAUUGAAGCCUGGUCUCCUACAUUGGAGGCAGAUUCUUUAACAUCUGAACCACUAGGGAAGCCCAGCCAAUUGAUAGGCAUGGUCUUUGAUGGCUUACGUGCGUAAAUGUUUUUAAUUGCCAAGUCAGCACAAUGGGUCAGGUAUUAGUCACUGGUCCUAUUUGAAAGAGAAGCAGAGGUUAAGUUACUGAACCGAGGCCCUUUGGUCAGUAAGUGGCAGAGCUGGGACUCGAACCCAAGACUGUGAUCCGAAGGACUCUGUACUUUUCCAAUACUAGAUACAGUACUUCAGUUCUGAAAGCCAGCAGUUAAUAACUGUAGUUGGCAUGCAUAUUAUGCUUUGGUCUGUAAAGUGUGUAUCUGUUUGCAUUUGCUUCUCUCAGCCUCCCCAGGAAUGGCUGUUAAUUGAACUUGCCUCAAGCGUAGGCAUCCCUGGGUCACAUGGAGUGCUUUUUCCUCACCCACCCUUUCCCCACCUUCCAGACACUCCGAGCCCACCCUCUCCUUUCAGGCCUCACCAUGUCAUUGUAGGUUGGCUGUGUUCAAUGCCAGGACACAACAUGCUUGCCGUGGGCUCUUCUGGUUUCUGGAACCCACAUGCCCAUCAGGCCCUGUUGAUACCCUCCUGCUUCUCUCAACCAGUGGCUGCUGGGAGUUGAUGUAUAAAUUCCUUGGCCCCCUCGCUCUGGGAGGCAUGCUUCUGAGGAUGUUCCUCACAGGCUUGUAAGUUCUCCUUCUGGGUGGUGUGGCACUCUGAUUGCUUGUAGGGGUAACUUGCUUGAGUACACAGACUUUAGAGCCUGCCUUCUCUUCCCUUGUCCCCCACCCCCAAAUAAAGUACCUGCGCUUGAAUUCCUUGUCUCACAUUCUGCUUGAAGUGAAGUGUUAGUCAUUCAGGUGUGUCUGACUCUUUGCCACCCUAUGGACUGUAGCCUGCCAGGCUCCUCUGUUCAUGAAAAUUUCCAGGCAAGAAUACUGAAGUGGGUAACCAUUCCCUUCUCCAGGGGAUCUUCCUGACCCAGGGAUCGAACCUAUGUCUCCCGCAUUGCAGACAGACUCUUUACCAUUUGAGUCACCAGGGAAGCCUAGGGAAGAACAAAAUCAAGGUGGCCCUGUGUUCUUGGGUGACCAUGAUGAUGUACUUUAUCUGGCACUUUAGCAUACCGCUAUUCUAACUUCUCUCCCCAGUCAUGUUGUGAGAGUAUAUUUUCCCCUUCCUGACACCUAGACUCUCAUGUGUGUGUGUUUCUAUAUAUUCAUCCACACCAAGUGGCUUGUGAGAUCUUAGUUCCCCAACCAGGGAUCGAACUUGCAUCCCCUGCCUUGGAAGCACAGAGUCUUAAUGGCUGGACCACCAGGGAAAUCCCUGAGUCUUGUGUGUUUUGAAUUCAAGAGGGAUGUUAAGGAGAUGGGCCAGCCUAUUCAUUGGAGCCUCUGGGGACAGGGCUGGGUGCAUGCCAACACUCUGGGCUCUUACAGUGACUCACAUAGCCCUCGCUGUGUAUCGCUCAUUCUCACUCUUAAUCACAGGCUCUCUUGAGAUGCUUGAUGAACUCUUGAGUCUAGGUUUGGUCACUCAUUUGAAGCAUCGGUUAUCUUGAUAGCAGCAGCUCUCUCACCCUGAUUUUGAAUUUCUCCUGGAACUGAGUGCUUCAUAGAUGCUUCCCAGAUGCUUGAGUUUGGAAGUGUGGAUACUGGUUUUGAUUUUGUAAGUUAUUCCACAUGUGCUGUGUGCUUUCCCUUGAAUAUCUGUCAUAACUGGGGUUGUUAUUUAUUAAAAGUUAUUAUUAAAGUUAUUUAUCUAAAGUUCA